GUGACGUUGACGCUGGCUGGCUGGCUUCCUACAAGACUCUCAUGUUCUCACCGGAGGGACACCAUAACAACAACAACAACAACAUAGCAACUCCUCCCUGUUCUGUGUAGAGACACCUCUGGAGCUGGAGGACUAUAUUUCCUGUAACCUCUAUCAAGGAAUGUUUGUCUCUGUGCAAAGCCUUGUUUGGAAAAACAGAUGCAUCCCAGACAAAGUACACAGGAUGGAGGGGCUCAGUGAACGGGGUCUGGACUCUGUGGAGGAAGAUCAUUCUGUCAGAUGUUGAAGAAGGACAGAGUUCUUGCACUGUGGUCCAGAUCCAUUUCUAUGAGACAGCUAGAGAAACACGGUCCCCGCUGUUUUCUAUCUCCCAGUAGCAGGUUCCAGACAGACCUUCUCUACACAGCACCUGGG